rnacentral:rRNA from 1 species
CUACGGGAGGCUCCAGUGGGGAAUAUUGGACAAUGGGGGAAACCCUGAUCCAGCAAUGCCGCGUGUGUGAAGAAGGCCUGCGGGUUGUAAAGCACUUUCAGUAGGGAGGAGCGCAUAAUCAUUAAUACUGGUUAUGUUGGACGUUACCUAUAGAAGAAGCACCGGCUAACUCUGUGCCAGCAGCCGCGGUAAUACAGAGGGUGCAAGCGUUAAUCGGAAUUACUGGGCGUAAAGAGCGCGUAGGUUGAUAAGUGUGUUGGAUGUGAAAUCUCCAGGCUUAACCUGGAGUGGUCAUUCAAAACUGCUUAUCUAGAGUGCAGUAGAGGGAAGUGGAAUUUCCGGUGUAGCGGUGAAAUGCGUAGAUAUCGGAAGGAACAUCAGUGGCGAAGGCGGCUUCCUGGACUGCUACUGACACUGAGGCGCGAAAGCGUGGGGAGCAAACAGGAUUAGAUACCCCCGUAGUC